UGCAUCAUCCUUCCCUUUCCCCGCAGAGGGAAGGACAGCAGAACCAACCGUGGCGCCUCUCAGCAUAUUCCCCAGGACCCGCCUCGGUGGAUUCCUUCGUCAAUGCCCCAAUGACUUCGAAGCCAGGCUCCGACAUUCUUCGUGGAAACCGAGUAUAAGCCUUCGUUGCUCCUCGUCGCGUUUGGGGAGGAGGAAGAUGAGGGGGCGGUAAGAUAUUGACGAUUUGGACAGAUUUUCGAAGUGGAGUAAACAUCACAUCGUUAGCAUAAGGAAAACUAAUAGCGCUGUAUUCUUUCGAUCCGUCUCUUCUUGGCAUUCGCACUCCGGUGGAUAUUUGCAUCGGAAGACCUCGAGGACAUCGACGACGUUUAUCUUGGCACAAGGAAAGUGCCAUUUCCCGAGAGCGCAAUAAACGUUUACGGCUGCUGAGACAACCGGUUCAAGAGGCCA